rnacentral:tRNA from 1 species
AGAAAAGUAAGCUAAUAAAGCUAAUGGGUUCAUACCCCACCUAUAGAGGUAAUCCUCUCUUAUCUA